UACGUAGGGUCCGAGCGUUUGUCCGGAAUUAUUGGGCGUAAAGGGCUCGUAGGCGGUUCGUCACGUCGGGAGUGAAAACUCGGAGCUUAACUCCGAGCCUGCUUCCGAUACGGGCAGACUAGAGGUAGGCAGGGGAGAGCGGAACUCCUGGUGUAGCGGUGGAAUGCGCAGAUAUCAGGAAGAACACCGGUGGCGGAAGGCGGCUCUCUGGGCCUUACCUGACGCUGAGGAGCGAAAGCGUGGGUAGCGAACAGG
rnacentral:rRNA from 1 species